rnacentral:rRNA from 1 species
UAGGGAAUCUUCCACAAUGGACGCAAGUCUGAUGGAGCAACGCCGCGUGAGUGAAGAAGGUCUUCGGAUCGUAAAACUCUGUUGUUAGAGAAGAACACGAGUGAGAGUAACUGUUCAUUCGAUGACGGUAUCUAACCAGCAAGUCGCGGCUAACUACGUUCCAG